AUUGAACGCUGGCGGCAGGCUUAACACAUGCAAGUCGAACGAUGAAGAUAUAGCUUGCUAUAUCGGAUUAGUGGCGGACGGGUGAGUAACACUUAGGAAUCUACCUUUUAGCGGGGGAUAGCUCGGGGAAACUCGAAUUAAUACCCCAUAAUUUCUACGGAAUAAAGAGGGCUUUUAGCUCUCACUAGAAGAUGAGCCUAAGUAAGAUUAGCUAGUUGGUGGGGUAAAAGCCUACCAAGGCGACGAUCUUUAGCUGGUCUGAGAGGAUGAUCAGCCACACUGGGACUGAGACACGGCCCAGACUCCUACGGGAGGCAGCAGUGGGGAAUAUUGGACAAUGGGGGCAACCCUGAUCCAGCCAUGCCGCGUGUGUGAAGAAGGCCUUUUGGUUGUAAAGCACUUUAAGCAGUGAAGAAGACCUAUUGGUUAAUACCCAAUAGCGAUGACAUUAACUGCAGAAUAAGCACCGGCUAACUCUGUGCCAGCAGCCGCGGUAAUACAGAGGGUGCAAGCGUUAAUCGGAAUUACUGGGCGUAAAGCGAGCGUAGGUGGUUAAAUAAGUCAGAUGUGAAAGCCCUGGGCUCAACCUAGGAACGGCAUCUGAAACUAUUUAACUAGAGUAGGUGAGAGGGAAGUAGAAUUUCAGGUGUAGCGGUGAAAUGCGUAGAGAUCUGAAGGAAUACCGAUGGCGAAGGCAGCUUCCUGGCAUCAUACUGACACUGAGGCUCGAAAGCGUGGGUAGCAAACAGG
rnacentral:rRNA from 1 species